ensembl:lncRNA
AUUGCCCUGAGGCUAGUUAUGACUUGCAUACUUCAAAACAAAGUGCAGUAGAAGUGUAACGUAUGUAUAAAAGGAAGUGGAAUACGUUAAAAGGAGGUGAAUAGGCUACUUGCGAGUGUAUAAAAGAUCUAUCCAAGACAUCAGUAAAAAAAGCUCUCUUGACAACCUCAAGAUUUACAAUGCCAUUUUUUGAUCAAAGAACACUGAAGCUUUUCUGUGGAUUGUAUUACUUCUUAUUGAUGGUAGAUAUGUUGCAUGUGCCGUAUUUUCACCACAUGCUCCAUGUAACAACACAAUAGAUGUGAAAGAACUUCAAUCCACUUCAGAAUUUUUUCUAUCUAAGCUUGUAGGUUUUUUGCUGUUAUAUUCUGUGCUGCUACUAGCCUUCCUUGUAACAGCUGUUGGACACGUGAAAAAAUGGUGCAACCAGAGGAACAAUGCAAAUACAGCAUUAUACAACAGUAUAAAUCCUGAAAGCACGGGGCAACAGGAAUAAUCCAGAGUAUGGACAGUACCUGAACAAAACAACCAGAAAACCCCGAUUGAAAAAGGCUGUUAAAACCAGAUCAGUUACAGUGUAUGAAAAGUGUUACCUGUAAUAUAGCCUACAGAGAGUAAAAUUAAACACCAUUGAUUUUCAUUGCUUAUGUAUUUGUUGUACUCUAAAAUGAUUUCUUAUAAUUUCAUCAUAAACAGCUGUAUGAAUACAUUGAUGUUGUGUUAAAUGUAUGCAAAUUCAGUUAUACUAUGUGACCAUAUAUUAGAACGGAAACCAUGUUGUAAAUGCUGGGCUGACAUUUUAAGGCAAAUUUUUGUUUCACUUUUUUGCGAUUUAAUGUUUUUUUUUUUUUUUUUUUGUAGAAUCAUUUGUAGAAUCUAACAGCUGUCUAACAGUUACCUAACUGCUUUUCUGAUGUCAAAUUCUGCAUCUGUAAAAACAAUAAAACUACUGACUGCUGAUAAAUAA